CGGGGAACGAUAACGGCGUCGAGCGGCGGACGGGUGAGUAAUGCCUAGGAAAUUGCCCUGAUGUGGGGGAUAACCAUUGGAAACGAUGGCUAAUACCGCAUGAUGCCUACGGGCCAAAGAGGGGGACCUUCGGGCCUCUCGCGUCAGGAUAUGCCUAGGUGGGAUUAGCUAGUUGGUGAGGUAAGGGCUCACCAAGGCGACGAUCCCUAGCUGGUCUGAGAGGAUGAUCAGCCACACUGGAACUGAGACACGGUCCAGACUCCUACGGGAGGCAGCAGUGGGGAAUAUUGCACAAUGGGCGCAAGCCUGAUGCAGCCAUGCCGCGUGUAUGAAGAAGGCCUUCGGGUUGUAAAGUACUUUCAGUCGUGAGGAAGGCGKYGKMGUUAAUAGCKGCRUYGUUUGACGUUAGCKACAGAAGAAGCACCGGCUAACUCCGUGCCAGCAGCCGCGGUAAUACGGAGGGUGCGAGCGUUAAUCGGAAUUACUGGGCGUAAAGCGCAUGCAGGUGGUUUGUUAAGUCAGAUGUGAAAGCCCGGGGCUCACCCUCGGAAUAGCAUUUGAAACUGGCA
rnacentral:rRNA from 1 species